AACCCAGCCUCCCUGAGAAUCCGAACCAGCCCCACAGCCACAAUCCAGCCCCACGGCCAGCAUCCAGCCCCACGGCCAGCAUCGUUUCCCGAGCGAGGGCGGGAGCCAGCCGAGGAGCAGCGGUCCCCCCCCGGGCCGGCUGUAAGGCUGGGGUAGCCCUGGGCCACCAACACAAAGGCCGGGCAGGUGAUGCAGAGACUUUUUUU